rnacentral:lncRNA from 1 species
GAGGCUCCUUCUGGUGCAUCCCAUUGACAGAACUUAAUAGAAAGUAAGAAGGCAAGGUAGCCAGGAGGAUGACAUCAUAGAGGGGUCCCCAAGAACACAGUGCAGAGAAUGCAAAAGGGUGAGGUGGAAAAUGAGGCUAACAAGUGCGGUGGAUAAGGCUGGAUAGAAGAGUGUCAUGAAUAAUCCAGCCCCCUUUUGGACAUUGUUCUGAAGAGAUAAGCUUACCUGGUCAGGACACAAUGCAAGUGAACCGAGACUCUUCUCUUUGGCUUUACAUGAAGAUUAUGGGAAAAAGCCAGUUCCAAAAAGAUGAUGAUAUUCUUCAGUGGUAUAUUACAGAAGAAAUAUUGCAAUCUUCAUUCAUUGCAAGGUCACUGUUUUCCGCCAAAUGUGGGUUACACUUGUUCUAAAACCAUCGUCUGCAUCUGUUUUGUUUCCACUCCUGUCCAACCACUCACAAUUCUUCAUGCACACUUCCGGUCGUGGCGUUCACCUGCUCCAAAUGUCAAAGCUCCUCAUGGCCCACACUAUAGGCCCUGUGUCUACAAUUUACCUUUCUAUUUCCAGGUCACUAUAUAGCUGGUGACUUACACUCCAGAUAAAUUCAUCUAUGUACUUUUUUAGAAUGUAUCUUGCAUUGUCACCCGUGCGUGAAAUUUCUCAACUUGAAAUUUUCUGUGUGUCUAUAAAGAUUCACUGAUCUCUCUAUCCGAAAGUUGCCC